CCUGGCAGCUUUAGUCUGAGCCUCCCACAUGAGUCAGAGCCACGUGACAGAGCUCAUGCUGAAGAACUGAAACCAGAGGGGGGCACGAGGCAAGGGGAACGGAUGGGUCUUGACUUACGCUGGAUGAUAGUCAGCAUAUACAGUGUGACUCUAAUCUCAAAUGAAAUGGCACCUCUGAUAUCAAAUUCAGGAAAGCUCCAAGUAUUGGAAAACACAGACUCGAAGAUCCCAGAAGUAAUGUAAGAGCUCACUGUCAACGUUAUGGAGAAAUAAAAGCCAGAAGAAAAACGUAUUUAAACCUCGC
rnacentral:lncRNA from 1 species